GACACACACAUAGUCUGUGUGUGUGUGUGAGUGUGUGUUCUUGAGUGAAUCAAGGAAGAAGGAGAAGAGAAGGAAUUUGAAAUUUUUCAUGGAUAAUCUAUGAGUUUUGAAGUGUUCAUCAUCUCCUAAGCAUCAAGAUCAUGUCAAAGCGGGUGGAAGCAUGGAAGGCUAACGGAAAGGAUGCGAGGAAGCAAGUACGAAACAGACACUAAAGGUAUGAUAACGUUGGGUCCAAGUUAGUUGAUGUCGGAAAGUAGUGGACGAGUUUUGAAAGGAUGAUCAAACAAGAUAUCUUGCGUCGUUAGAAUGCAAUAUGGUCUCCUGUCACACCCCGGCCGCGGUAAAACAACGAAAAGCCGCGGUGGAAACGCCGGGGAGGUGAGUCGCGACAGAAUUAUUGUUUCAACAACCAAGGCAAACAAAGUUUUGUAUUAUUUAAAAUUAAAGUUACAUUGUCUUUAAGUUCAAACUAAAAUAACAUAAUAACUGUCUUUUAAGUCACUAAGGCCCGAGUCCGCCUAAGUGAAGC